rnacentral:rRNA from 1 species
UGUUAUGUAUUUCCGUCUGAUGCAGUCGAGCGGUAACAGGGGUAGCUUGCUACCCGCUGACGAGCGGCGGACGGGUGAGUAAUGCUUGGGGAGCUGCCCGAUAGAGGGGGAUAACAGUUGGAAACGACUGCUAAUACCGCAUAACCUCUUCGGAGUAAAGCGGGGGAUCUUCGGACCUCGCGCUAUCGGAUGCGCCCAAGUGGGAUUAGCUAGUUGGUGAGGUAAUGGCUCACCAAGGCGACGAUCCCUAGCUGGUCUGAGAGGAUGAUCAGCCACACUGGAACUGAGACACGGUCCAGACUCCUACGGGAGGCAGCAGUGGGGAAUAUUGCACAAUGGGCGAAAGCCUGAUGCAGCCAUGCCGCGUGUAUGAAGAAGGCCUUCGGGUUGUAAAGUACUUUCAGCGAGGAGGAAAGGGUGUACGUUAAUACCGUGCAUCUGUGACGUUACUCGCAGAAGAAGCACCGGCUAACUCCGUGCCAGCAGCCGCGGUAAUACGGAGGGUGCGAGCGUUAAUCGGAAUUACUGGGCGUAAAGCGCAUGCAGGCGGCUGAUUAAGCCAGAUGUGAAAGCCCGAGGCUCAACCUCGGAAUAGCAUUUGGAACUGGUCAGCUAGAGUUCUUGAGAGGGUGGUAGAAUUUCAGGUGUAGCGGUGAAAUGCGUAGAGAUC